rnacentral:rRNA from 1 species
CCUACGGGUGGCAGCAGUGAGGAAUAUUGGUCAAUGGCCGGAAGGCUGAACCAGCCAAGCCGCGUGAAGGACGAAGGUGCCAAGCAUCGUAAACUUCUUUUGUCAAGGGACAAAAACAGGCUCGAGAGCCUGACCGAGGGUACUUGAAGAAAAAGCAUAGGCUAACUCCGUGCCAGCAGCCGCGGUAAUACGGAGGAUGCGAGCGGUAGCCGGAUUUAUUGGGUUAAAAGGGUGCGUAGGCGGACUGUUAAGUCCGCGGGAAAAGCCCGGGGCUCAACCCCGGCGCGCCGUUGAAACUGGCAGUCUUGAGAUGGCGAGAGGUAUGCGGAAUGCGCAGUGUAGCGGUGAAAUGCUUAG